CCUCCCGGAUCACUUCAUGAUAUAUUUUACACAUUGCUGCCUUGAAAAGUUGGGGAGGAAAAAUGAUCUUCUGUGUUCAUCAACACUUGGUGCAGGACUUUUAAACACAUAGGGCUUUUGGGGAAAAAUUUUACUUUUAACUUCAUUGUUUCUUAAGUUCCCAUUUUGGACAUUUUGUAACUCUUAGUGCUGAACAAUGUCUACUAGGAAAAGAAAGCUAAACAGCAAUUUUGUUUUGACAUAGUAGCUAUAAUGUGUAUGGGAGGGUGGAGAUUAUGGAGAGUUUAAUUAGCAUUAGCUAGUAGGAUCACUAAACAUCUGAUUUUUGCUCCCUCUAAACUUUUUCUUAGCUAUCUUUAACAUUCCUGAAUUUACUCAGGGUUUAUAGUGGGGACUGACUUACUUGAAGACAUGCUAUUUUAUCACAGAUUUGUAGAACUAUAUAUUUGAACAUUAUAUGAUAAUGGCAUACAGUCAUUUGCUAAGCACUUUUACAAGUAAUUGUGAUUGUAAUUUCCAUGGUGUCAUGACCCUCCCCUCCUCCUCCCAGCACUUACCAGCUCUGGCAUAUGGUGGUGCAGGGGGAUUAAACCUGGGACUUUGGAGCCUCAGAUGCUGCACUUAAGAAAAGGAUGCUUGUUUUGAUCCUCUGCUCAUGGUUUUCCUUAUGAAGUAUCAUUAAUCUAUCCUAGAGGUGCUAUUCUUUAUAAGGAUUUGUGAAGGAAAAUUUAAUUCCCAGUCUAUAUGUAACUUUAUACUUUUGUGUAACAUUGAGCAAGCAAAUUGUGUUAUGUAAAAUUUUGUUGAUUUAAAUUUCUUUAAUGUCAAGGUUGUAUUUAGUUUAAUCUGUGUUUGUUAUGUGAUUAAAAUCAUGACAUUUCAUUUUAUAAUUAUUGCAUAAAGAAAGAUUAUUCUGUGGGCCAUUUCCAUAGUCAAGAUGUGAAAUAGCGUGAAUAGAAGUGGUUGGUGUUUUUAUUUCUUCAACCUCUUUCUCUGUAAUUAAGGUACACUAGGUGCAACUUUAAAAAAAGGUUGAAUAAACUAGAUUCUAUUGUA